GAUGAACGCUGGCGGCGUGCCUAAUACAUGCAAGUCGAGCGGACAGACGAGGAUCUUGCGCCGUGGACGUUAGCGGAGGACGGGUGUAACACACGAGUAUAACCUACUUGUAAGACUGAGAUCACUUCGGGACACCGGAUCUUAUACCGGAGAAUCUUUCGAAGCGCGUGGGUCGAUAGUGAAAGACGGCUCUGCUGGCUCUACUCGAUGCAUCUGCGCCGUAUUGGCUAGUUGUGAAGGUCACGGCUUACCAAGGCAAGGAUGCGUAGCCGACCUGAGAGGGUGAUCGGCCACCCUGGAACUGGGACACGGUCCAGACUCCUAAGGGAGGCAGCAGUAGGGAAUCGUCCGCAAUGGGCGAAAGCCUGACGGAGCAACGCCGAGUGAGUGAUGAAGGUCUUCGGAUCGUAAAACUCUGUUAUUAGGGAUGAACAAACGUGUAAGUAACUGUGCACGUCUUGACGGUACCUAAUCAGAAAGCCACGGCUAACUACGUG
rnacentral:rRNA from 1 species